GAGGCCUUAUCUUAAUUAAAGUGUCUGAGUUGCAUUCAGAAGAUGUGGGAUAGGGUCCUGCAGGUCUUA
rnacentral:tRNA from 1 species